rnacentral:rRNA from 1 species
AUUGAACGCUAGCGGGAUGCUUAACACAUGCAAGUCGAACGAGUGGGGGGCGGGUGAGCAAGAAAUCGGCACGUGCCCAGGAGCGGGGGAUAACUACUCGGAACAGUUGCUACUACCGCAUACUUGAGGAGCGGCCGAAAUCGGAUUAGCUAGUUGGAGGGGUAAAGGCCUACCAAGGCCACGAUCCGUAGCUGGUUUGAGAGGACGACCAGCCACACUGGGACUGAGACACGGCCCAGACUCCUACGGGAGGCAGCAGUGGGGAAUUUUGGACAAUGGGUGAAAGCCUGAUCCAGCCAUCCCGCGUGUAUGAGAAGGCCUUCGGAUUGUAAAGUACUUUUGGCUGAGAAGCGGUACCUACAGAAUAAGCACCGGCUAACUACGUGCCAGCAGCCGCGGUAAUAC